CAUGUCUUUUUGAUAAUAAUAUAAAGUCUGACCUGCCCUAUGAUUUUUAUUAAAUGGCCGCGAUAAUUUGAUCGUGCAAAGGUAGCAUAAUAAUUAGUUUUUUAAUUGGGAACUGGAAUGAAAGGUCGAACGAAAAAAUAACUGUCUCAAUUUAAUUUUUAUUAGAAUUUUAUCUUUAAGUAAAAAAGCUUAAAUAGUUUUUAUAGACGAGAAGACCCUAUAGAGUUUUAUAUAUGUUUUUUAUUUUUUAUUUUAAGAAUUUAAAUUAAAAAUUUAAAAUUAUAUAUUUGAUUGGGGUGAUUGAAAAAUUUAAUGAACUUUUUUUAUAUUAAAACAUUAAUUUAUGAGUAAUUGAUCCAUAUAUAAUGAUUAAAAGAUUAAAUUACCUUAGGGAUAACAGCGUAAUUUUUUUUGAGAGUUCUUAUCGAAAAAAUAGUUUGCGACC
rnacentral:rRNA from 1 species